UAAUAAGCGGAGGAAAAGAAACUAACAAGGAUUCCCCUAGUAACGGCGAGUGAAGCGGGAACGGCUCAAAUUUGAAAUCUCCGUCGCUUACAACGCGACUUGUAAUUUCGAGAAGCGCUUUCUCGGCGGGUCCGGGGCCGUCCAAGUUGCUUGGAACAGCACGUCGCAGAGGGUGACAACCCCGUCUGUGGCGGGUCGGCCGCUGACGAUGCGCUUUCGA
rnacentral:rRNA from 1 species